UGUGUGAGUAACUUGGCAUUUUUGUACGUUGAAAACAUGUUUUUUUUAAAUGAGAUUUUAGUUUACAAGAAAUAACUAGCAACUUAAUAGCGGAUUGCAAAAUGUGAACAUUUCCUAAGCAUGAAACAUGCUAGCUAAUUAAAACUUCAAUACAAUCUAGCAUUACUAUAUAAAUGGGGUUAUGAUGAGGUGAGGCACUAAGAAAAACGGCACCUGGUCUCGCCUAAUACUCACACAGCAGUACCCUGGUCUUUGGGCUUCAUUUUUAGUAGCAACGCUGCGGCUCUCCACUAGAGGGCAGUGUGCAGUAAAACGGCUGUGUGCAUCCACUCAGCAAGAAGGAUCACCCAGCGCAAAAUGGCGGCUGUGUAGUAUAAUGGACACACCCACUGAGUCCGGCAGGCACAGGGAGAGCAGCAUCAAAAAAAGCGCCUGCAAGGUGAGAUGGGGUAGAAACGAAGGGGACUGUAAUGAGACCGGAAUCAAGGGGAUCACAUGACUGCACAGAAAACAACUGGAGGUCGAAGCAGAGAAGAGGAAGGAGGAGAAAAAAAUGCAGUAGUGUGAAAGAGGCAGACAUAUAUCACAUCUGAUAAGACGGCAGUUAACAAGUCCAGUCCUCAUGUUAACCACCACCCGUGAGUCAACAAAUGGCCAGCCAAUCACAGGCUGCCUCAUCAUGAGAACGGAGCUCUCCUGCUCAGGCCUAGUAGACAGCAGUCAGUCAUUCUCCUGUUUCACGCAACACACUUGCAUACAACCUGAUGUAUGCCUGUUUUUAUUUCACAAUAUUAUGAAACUACAAUGUCAUUUUUUAAUUUUUUUUUUUUACAGAAACGUGAAAGUGUGUGCACGGAGAAAAUGAUUGAGAGAGAUGAAAAGGAUGCUUCAUUUCUCAUGGGUAAAAUCGAAAGGUCCCCAAACUUGGUUAGUUGAUGGCGUGUUAAUAAAGACUCCAUCUGUGUCGACUAACCACAGUGAGGUGACAGUUUUAAUGUUUGAUGCCGCUUCCUCUCUAUGAUCUGUUUGACCUUGGAAAGUCGGAGUUCUGUGUGUCUGACUGACUCACCAAACCCUUGGCUUUAGCUUUGAGAGUCCAGUCUAUAUUCUUAGGCCUUUUGCUACACCAUUUACAAACAUCGUUUUGAAAUAGACUGUUAAAAGAAAAGUAAAACAUCAAAUUAUUUCUACAUGCUAUUCAUAUUUAUAUAUCAGACACUAGAAUGACUGAAAACAUAAUGUCAGCAUGGAUGCAAGACACAAAUCUUACAUUUACAUUUCUUCGCAAACUCGCGCCUGCUGAGUUAAUGACAGUGAUCGCUCAACUUGCUGAACCAGUUUUUUUUUUUUUUGAGGAAAUAAAAUACUGCUUUUAAUUGUUAGUCUAUGUUAAGGGCAAAUGGUAAUGAAAUCCUAGCCAUUGUCACGUAUAAGUGACCCACCAAAUGUAAAAUUCAGUUAUUUCAGUUAACUUCGAUUAAUUCAAACCCGUGUUUUAAGAUAUUAAUACCAUACCAUGAAUUACAAAGCGCAUCGUAGCAAAGAAGAGGCUGUGUAUUUGUUCUUUCCAUUUGAAUGACAGGACAUUAUGAGUUAGGUUGGAUUAACCCAUCUUUUCCACAUGGAACACCAAUGCUAACCAAUAUGGUGAUCUGCGUUUGAAUUCAUGUCUUUACUCACUGCACUGCUUAAAUGCUGCUGAUCUCUGAACGUCAUUACAGAUGAACGUGUCUGGCAUCAGCUAAGACAAGUGUCUUUUGUGUUUGCUAGCCAGUGUUUUCAGGAGAAACCCUGGUGCUUUUUCGCCACUGGGAGAUUACAGCGACUCAACAGCGAGUAAAUCAUGCUAAUCAUA